UACAGAGGGUGCAAGCAUUAAUCGGAAUUAUUGGGCGUAAAGGGCGUGUAGGCGGAUCAGUAAGUCAGAUGUGAAAUUCCGGGGCUCAACCUCGGAGCUGCAUUUGAAACUACUAGUCUUGAGGGUUGACGGAGAAAACGGAAUUCCACGUGUAGCGGUGAAAUGCGUAGAUAUGUGGAAGAACACCAGUGGCGAAAGCGGUUUUCUAAUUAAAACCUGACGCUGAGGCGCGAGAGCAAGGGGAGCAAACAGG
rnacentral:rRNA from 1 species